rnacentral:lncRNA from 1 species
CUCCUUUUCCAAUUGAACACUUCACUACCCCAACUCCAAAACACCACAGCACCUUCACCCUCCACUUUCCUCCUCUGCCGUGACCGAGAGUGAAGAGAGAGUGAGAGAGCUCCUCAGCUUGAGCAAGAGAAAAGAAAGAGAGAUGUGUGAGCUGCAAUUCCUGUUCUGUCCGAGAGAGUGAAGUGAGAAAGGGAGAGAGAGCCGAGCCUUCUACUUCAUCACCUCCUGACCGCAUGCUAGAAAUAAAAGUGAGAGACCUGCUGCUUUCCCUCAUCUCAUCCGCCAGCCUGUAUAAGAGAAGGAGAGGAAACGGGCUGCACUUCGAACCAUCCGAGAGAAGGAAAAAUUGACAGCACCUUGUCGCCGCGUGUAUAAGCUGCAACCUGAGGUAAUUUCUGAGUUAGAAGGAGUUGAUUAGUGGUAGAUGCAGUGAAUUAUGGUCAUGCAUGAAGUGUUUGUGUCUCGGAUGAUGAAACCAAAGCAUGAGAAAAUCUGAUUAGGAAGAAAUUGGAAUUUGCCGUGGGAGUGAUUUGGAAAAUGCAGAUUUAAUUCUGUCUCUUUGUAGUAGUUUGAGCUGAUACAUGUGUUUAACUAAUUAAGAACAAGGUAAUUAAGCUCUGCAUGCAGCCCUUGGUUCGGUUAUGCUAGAAAAAUAAGAAUGAAAAACAAUCUGGCCGCAUGCAAGCUCAUCCGAAGGUAGCAAACAGAAUUUCUGGUUUUCUUGGAUGAUUAUGGCUGUUGUUUGAAUCCGAUUUUAAACUAGAAAUAUUGAUUAGCUAGUUAAGUAUUUGCAUGUUAAUUUUUAGCACCUAAUACCAUGAAUUAACCGAAGGAAAAGUUGGAUUUAUGACCAAUCUAAUUGCUGGAAAUCUGUUGAGUUGGCCGAGAGAGGGAAAGAAAGAAUUUCCAGUUUUUCUCUUCAAAUCUUGGCUGCAAAUUUCGUAUUGUGGUUCAAUAUACCUCAUAACACAAUAAUCACCAUAUGCAUGCUGAGUUUGAGUGAACAAAGUAAUGAAUUUUGUUAGGGAAAAGUUCGUUUUCCAAACUAUCUAUUUGCUGCAAUUUUUUUUUCCAGCUUAGCCGAUGGUGGCUCUUUUGAGUUUUAAUGGAAACUUGGUGAGUGGGCUCUAUGAAUUCCCACAAUGACUUGGAUGAUCUGAUUAGCUAGUCAAGUAUUUGCAUGUCGGAUUUGAGUACUUAAUACCAUGAUCUGACCGAGGAAAAAAUUGGUUCUAUGACCAACUAGCUGCUGGAAAUUCUGUUUAGCCGAGGACAGAUUUAUUGUGGUGAAAUUAUUUGCCAAAAUCACAUGCUAUUUGUUUUAUUUCAUGUCGGAAAAUUUUGAUGGUGGGCUCUAUGAACUCCCACCCUUGGAUUGAUGAUGGAUAUAAUGCUAGUUAGUGUUUAAAUAGGUAGAUUAAUGAUACCUAGCUAGUCUAGACUCCAAGAGAUGCAUAGUUCAAAAAUGUUCAGAUUUACCCUGUUUUAAUCGCACCCCUUUUUGCAAAAUUUUGAGGGUUUCAUGACUUGUAUAUCAAGUUGAUAUGUUGAAUAUAUGGUGUACAAAGUUUCAUUGAAAAAUAUUGAGGUUUGGUUGGUCAAAUAAAUUGAUUUCACAAAGCUAGUAAAUCUGGAACUAUUUCCGAAAUGCUUUGACCAGCUUUCGUAUUUCGGCCAUAAUUUUGAGCUCCGAUGUCGAAAUCGAGUGCUGUCAGUGGCAUUUGAAACUAGACAUUCCAGUCUUUCCGACGAUAUAAAAUGCACGUUCUGGUUCCAUGUAUGUGAGCCAAACCAACCAUUUUAAGUCGGCUGUUCUGUUUCUCUGUUUUACAAGAACAAAAUGCUGAGGCUGCAACUUGUGGCUCGAAUUCGAGCUAGUUGUGUGCUGAAUUUCAAAAUGAUUUCUUCUGUGAAAUUAUAGCUCUAUGAAUGUGCUUUCCAACGCCUUAAACCAUGCCAAAUUAUGAGUUAAUUUGAGUGAUCUGUGAUCAAAAUAUGAAACCUGCUCUGUCCUUGAAAACCCUGAUUUUUAGAUAGAUUUGAUGCAAGGUUUGGCAAAGACUUGCUAACUGAAUAUUUUGAUGCUAAACACUUACCAAAUGUACCAUGAAUGUUCUUUAGAUUUUGCCUAUACAAAUGAACCAUGUUGAGAGGAUUUUCUCUUGGUCAAAAGUUUGGAAAAGGAAAUUUUCAUACACAAAGCAGCCUUGCCUUAAAAUUUUGGAAACUGGAGUGAUUUUGUUAAGUGACUUCCCGUGCAUAUUUUUCUAUGAAAUUUGACAGAGGAAUAGCCCUUAUAUGGUAGUAUUAUACUGCUAAUUAUGGUGUUAUUCUGAGACCGUUUCAUGACUCAAAUAAAUUACCAAAGUUUAUGACUUGAGUUUGAAAACCCUUCUUUAACAAAAAAAUUUUAGUAACUUUGAGCUACCGUAUCUUGGUGCUCAAAACUUUGUUUCUCAUUCUGUCUAUUUUGUUAUACUCUUGGUUUACAACACUAAUUGAGUUACAAAUUUCAAAGGCUAGUUCCAAUCAAGUGAAUUUUGCCGAGUUUUCAAAGUUGGCCAAAAACCAACUUAAAUCUGCCUUAUGAACCAAAACAGAGAUUUUGAGCUUAUUUUUGAAUGCUUUCCAUGCGGAAUCUUAGAAAAGAGUAUUCUAGGAACUUUUAGAACUUUGGAAGAGGUUUCCAUUGGUACCAAUCUUUCUAAUUUUUGACAUGUAAAAGGUGAGCUACGAUUUUUCAAAGUAUCGCAUCAAAACUGAAAAUUUUCCGAAUUCCACGGAAAUGGAGUUUUUCAAGUACUCCUUGUUCCUUCGAUAUUAUUCAAAUGUCUUAUCCUUAUUUUUCAUGAUGAGGACUUAAUUUCUCUUGUACUUUGAAACCCGCUUGAGAGUCCCGAUUUAGAAUAAUUAACACUUGUUUCACGAGUUUUUUCCUAAGUUGUACUAUGACACGAUUUUCAUCAAUAGUAGGGAUUGUAAAUGAUAGACUAUUACUAUUUGUUCAGGCACACACGAGGACCUUUAAGAGGAUCCGACAGAGGACGCUUGAACUUCAAAUUGAACCUAAGGCCCUUGUUGCUAGGUGAGUGUUCCAUAUAGGAAUACGUAAUUGAAUAAGUCUAGGACAUGCUCAUUUCAUGAUUAUUAAGUGUUAAGUUUUUACCAUACUCAUGUCUAUAUAAAUAAUGAAUACUUGCAUUGUAUACCAACAGGAAUUGGUUAAAUGAUUAACCAUAUCAAAUGACUAUAUGAACUCGAUACAUGUUUAAUUUGCUAGAUUACUUGCUUAACCUACUUGGUUUUGUAAAAUGAGUAUCCCUGCUUGUUCUAUGCUUAUUUGGUUAAAGUGCUUUCUUGACUCGAUAUGUGAUAACUUGGAAAACGAUUUUUGAUCCAUCGAAGUGAGCAGUGUGUACUUUAUCACACUAGCCUUUCGAGUGGUGACUUGUGUGAAAUGUUUUCGUGAAUAUCUUACGUGUUGUGACGUCGUUGGGUGAAUCCCUCGACCAGUUUACGUGUUGUGAAUCUCCUCGAAUCUCGCGUGAUAAAAAUAAGAUAACGGCCAAUGAUGGCCUAUUAAUAUGGCAAAUGCCUGUCAAAUAACCGUCACUACUCAACCGUUAACCGUGAACCGUUUACCAACCCACAUGACUAUUCGAUAUCCGUGAAUUACAUGCUUCCAUGAAAUCAACUUGUAUUGCUUACGUGCUUACGUGCUAAGUAUCCACUUGAUUACUUGAUUAUCAUGAAUCACAUGUUAUAUGAAAUUGUCCAUCAUUGAUAGGCGAGUGUGUACUUUACCUCACUCGACCUACUCAAAUGAUGAAUUUUACCUUUUGUCGAAUUACUUGGUUACCUGUGCAUGCUGUAAGCUCUAAGCUGAACUUGGGCCCUGCCUCGGUUACUGACCUACUCGAGCCAGGACUGGGCUCGGUCGGGUAGGUUGGAACCCUGGACAACCGUUUCGGUAUACUCGAGUACUACCACUGGAGGGAUAAGGUGAUGGCCAGUCAAACCGAGGGGAUCCGGAAGUCAUAAGGUGCAGAUGACCGAUGAAGUUCCACUGGAACACCGUAUCCUACAGUAUAUGUUUACCUUGUAUCAUGAUAAUUGUUUCAUGCUAAAAUGCCAACAUGAAAUCAUGAACUAUACAUGCUAAAUGUCUCAUACCAUAAUAAAUGUCUCAAAUUACCGUAUAAUGAUUAUCACCUCAUGAUAACAUGCCAUUGUGUAACGUUGAACCAUGCAUAUGAUAUGCCCGGCUUUCUUGAUUUGUUUGAAUUGUUAGAGUGUCUUGGAACCUCACUGGGCUGUGUAGCUCACCCCACGUCAUUUAUUUUUCCUGACAGGUCCUGGCAAAUGGGGCGAUCUGAAACCUAGUUGUAUUUUCUUAUGAAUGUAAUUGAAUCUUAUAACUUCGCUUUGCGGUUUGUAAUGUAUUAUUAUAUUUACAUCAUAGAUUGGAUUAGAAAUAUGUUAAGUUUAGGCGACUUUUUGUCUUGGAUUGCCACUUGAAGCUGGAAAGGUGUAAAACCUAGACUUGUUAUGUGGCUUAUAUGAAUUUGUUAUUUGGGAUUGUCGGAUUUUAUUCAGUGGUUUGUAAUGCGUAAGGUUUAAGAAUCGACGAUUAGCUAUCCUAUAAUACUGUUAUCUCUGAAGUUAAUGUGGUUUUAGUAAUUGGUUUAUUUGGAG